AUGACGUCAAGUGCGUCUUUUCUGGUCAGUCGUCAUGAAAACAUGGUGUUUGGAACAGAGUGAAAACAAACUACAUAUCACUGUAUACCACCAGUACCGAGACUUCAUGACUUCUGAUACAAAUCUCAACAAUGGUGACAGUUAAUGUGUGAGGAAGACGUGGUCUGACUGUGAAUACACAUGAAGAGGAAGGGUCCAAGUCUGUGAUGUCAUAACACCCUGUGAUAGCCAUCACACCACUAGAGGUCACAAUCAACUGACUAUUGGACUGAUAUGGGACUUCAUUGUUUCUUAGAUAUUGCCCUGUGGCCCUGAUUUUUAAUGUUCAUGUUCUUUGAUUUUGAACUUGUUUGACUGGUUUUCAUUCUUGUGCUUUAUAUUUAUGUAUUAUGUCCCUGUCGCUCUUGUUUGGAUUAUUGUUUGUUUUCAAAGGCUUUGCAUUUGGAUCCAUCAUAUUUGCCCCGUCUUCUGACAUCAAACAGAAUCACAAAAAUAAUUAUUCUUUUUAAUAGAUUUCAAAAGAUGCCUAUGUCAUGAUACUCAAACAAAAAAACAAAGUUUAUGCA